GGAUUAGAUACCCUGGUAGUCCACGCCGUAAACGAUGAUAACUAGCUGUCCGGAAGCUUAGCUUCUGGGUGGCGCAGCUAACGCAUUAAGUUAUCCGCCUGGGGAGUACGGCCGCAAGGUUAAAACUCAAAUGAAUUGACGGGGGCCUGCACAAGCGGUGGAGCAUGUGGUUUAAUUCGAAGCAACGCGCAGAACCUUACCAGCGUUUGACAUGUCCGGACGAUUUCCAGAGAUGGAUCUCUUCCCUUCGGGGACUGGAACACAGGUGCUGCAUGGCUGUCGUCAGCUCGUGCCG
rnacentral:rRNA from 1 species